UCUAGUUUUUUGAGGGCUCAACAGAGAUAGGAGCAGUCCCCUCAAGUCUACCUGCUUAGGGCAGAUUUUGGGCUGCUUUUAGGCUGUGCUCUUCCCUUGGAGGGACCUUUUUCAGUCUGAGUGCUGCAGGCUCCCUUUGUUACAUUAUAGUUGAGUUGAGGUAACAGAGUUGCUGCAUGUCCAAGGAAUGAAUCUUGGUUCAAACAGUGUCUGUAGCAGAACUGGGACCACAGUUCUUUAUCUUUACUCUUCAGACUCUGCAGACUGCUCAACUGCUUUGUGCACAAUACUUUGGCAAACUAUCUCUAAUCGUCAUCCUUCAUGGUAUGCCUCAUGCAUCCUACAAGGAACUGGAGGAAGUAGUGUUUCUGGCUGAAAUCUGUGGCCCAUGUGACCACUGUCACCUGUGUAUGAGUUGGGAUGUGGUGGUGCAUAUAAUUAGCUGUUACUCUAUGUCUCAGCACAAGACACUGUCACUGGCAGUGAUAGUGUCCCUGCAGUGUUGAAGGACUGGAUAGCCACUCUCUUCUUUGCAGCAGGACUAGAAUGGGACUGUGUAAGAAGUUCUUCUCUCCACCACAAAGAGGGUUCAUCCCUUGGCUCUUCAUGCCUCUGCUAGGGAUUGUGGUUCUAGAGAUCCUUUACAUGGUCUGAAAGAUACUGGCCCAUUUCAAAUCUGCCCUUCUCAUUCCUUUUCCUACCUUUUCUUUCCCUCCAGUAAUUUUGUUAAUAUGCAGUUACUUCUUUGAGCUAAUUUUUUUAGUCCUUCCACAAAUAUAAAAAGAAAGAAAUCAGCAAAAUGUGUGGAUUUGAUUUAGAUUGCAGAUAAUAUUGAGAUCAGCAAUGCUGUUCAGGUAGUUAAACUUUUAAGUACUUCAUUAAUAUGCCACAACGGUGUGGUGUUUUUUUUUUUUUUUUUUAAUUUAAUGAGAAGUGCUAGAAUAGAGAUAGCUAAUUUCCAAGUGCUGUCAAGACCCAGCUCUGAAGGUGGGUUACUGCAUGUCUUCUGUAUGUAAGCCUGUUAGUGAAAGGGAAGGGAACUGUACUGUUGCUCAAAUGGUAGGUUUGCUGGCCCACCUUUGCUGGCUCUGGAUCAUCCACAACUUACAGGCAAAGUGGUGUUAAUGACAAAAUCAAUUAGAGGAAAAAUCAACAAGGCAAUAAAAAGAAUUUGUUGAUAUCAGCAACUAGCAGUCAGCUUGGGUUAUUCCCUGAGGAGGGUACAGCCUGAGGCUAAGCCAGAACUAAAUGUUUUCAUGUUCAGUAGUUUUCUUGUUUUCUACUGGAAAUGCUACCAUGGCACACAGUUGGCAGCUGUGACCAGACUAUGGUUAAACAAACUGACAUUUAAGGAGAAGAAAAAUUGCUCUGGAAGAUGAACACAGACCCACUGACAGGCAAAUGUAAACCUCUCACUCAGUGAUUGACAUUAGCAGUGAAAGCGCCCAGAGACAAUUGAUAAGUGAGGAGAACUAGAUGGCAGUACCUGCAAGCAAGUAUGGAGCUGCUCAGUGAGAACAGUUUAGGUUGGCAGCACAUUUGAAAACUUUUUAGGGAGGAAAAAGGAAGAGAAAUUUUCUGAUGUGGCAUUUCACUUGCUACUCUUUUUAUAUAAGGAAUAUUGGUAAUUAAGUCUCAAAAUUCAAGCAUUAGAAAAUUGGGUACUCAUUUUUAAGACUGGUGCUUGAGAGGAUAGGGAUUUCUAGAAUAUGCAAUGGCAACUGAACUGUAUUUUCUCCAUAUUCAAAUUAGCAUUUAGCUAAGAAAAUAACAAAAGAAGUAACAAGAAAUAUUGCCUCUGCUGACAAUUACUUUGGCAUCCCAGUGACAGCAUUUUCUGUCAGAGAGGCGCUUGUUCAAAAACAGGAACUGAAUUUAGUAGAAUCUGGGUCAAUAUGUAAAAUAUAGCUUAGCUAAUGUUGGAAGGGAAACAAAUAGGAAUGCUCCACCAUUUCUUUUUUGCACCUCUGUAGCUAUGCAGU